UAUCUAUUUUGAUUAUGGCAUUUAAAAAAUUAUAAGACCUUAAUGUUUAGUAUGAAGCCUUGAAAGGAGAUUAGAGCCUAAAGAUGAAAAUCUAAACUAGCAGGAGGCUUAUUGGGAGAGACGAAAAUAAGACAUGGUUGGAUGAAGGCAAAGAAUGGAGAUCUUCAUUUCUAUUGGUAGAAGGCCAUAUCCAAUCGGCUUCAAGGAGGCUGCUUGAGGCCUUAUUAGGGAUUAAGGUUUUUUUCCGAGGUCAUUCAAGCUUUGGAGGCUAGGAUCAGCAAGUUUG
rnacentral:lncRNA from 1 species